GUUGACUUUGAGUAAAUGAAACCAUGGAGAACACAACUGUGGUUCUCCACAGUUAAGGGAGGGGAGCUACUGCAAUCUCCUCUCUCUCCUUUCUUGCUUUGACUCUUCUCCUCUCUUAGAAACAUGUCCCCAGAGCAGUUAUAAAAGAGCAGAGGGAACUGGAAAAAAGAAGAUGAUUGUCGAUCUUAGAGAGCUACUUCUUUUAGCUCUCUUCCGCAACAUUAUUGACCUUGUUUGCAAGAACUAGACAAUAAGGGCAACAUGGCAGCCCACACCUUCAGGAAGAGGGGCGACUUACAGAAACGACGUGCCCCUCAGGGCACACAGCGUAAGGCCACGAGGCUGCUGGCCUGUCUUGAUAUCCGUAUACUCCUUUCGUAUCAGAUAUGAAAUCGACUGGCCAGAAUUAUGAAUGGGUGACAAAUACCUGAACAUAGAAAUCCUUAAUAGUUCUUGGAACACAGAAAUGCCAUUGAUCAGCAGUAACUGGGAGACAGAACACACAAAGGUCUUUCCAUAUCAAAUCCAUGGAGAGAGUCUUGGCAUGAUUCAGCCAGGAAAGGGGGUGUUCCAACCAUGUAAACAUUUUUACUAGGAUGGAAACUUUGGGUCUUUGGUGAGUGCAUAAAUUCAUUUUGCCUUA